AUUGAACGCUGGCGGCAGGCUUAACACAUGCAAGUCGAGCGAGCGGCGGACGGGUGAGUAAUGUCUGGGAAACUGCCUGCUGGAGGGGGAUAACGGCUGGAAACGGUAGCUAAUACCGCAUACCAUCAGAUGUGCCCAGAUGGGAUUAGCUGGUGGGUGGGGUAAUGGCUCACCUAGGCGACGAUCCCUAGCUGGUCUGAGAGGCGGACCAGCCACACUGGAACUGAGACACGGUCCAGACGCCUACGGGAGGAAGCAGUGGGGAAUAUUGCACAAUGGGCGAAAGCCUGAUGCAGCCAUGCCGCGUGUGGGAAGAAGGCCUUCGGGUUGUAAAGCACUUUCAGCGAGGAGGCGUUACUCGCAGAAGAAGCACCGGCUAACUCCGUGCCAGCAGCCGCGGUAAUUC
rnacentral:rRNA from 1 species